GUGCAGCAGGCGCGAAACCUCCGCAAUGUGAGAAAUCGCGACGGGGGGAUCCCAAGUGCCAUUCUUAACGGGAUGGCUUUUCAUUAGUGUAAAGAGCUUUUGGAAUAAGAGCUGGGCAAGACCGGUGCCAGCCGCCGCGGUAACACCGGCAGCUCUAGUGGUAACAAUUUUUAUUGGGCCUAAAGCGUCCGUAGCCGGUUUAAUAAGUCUCUGGUGAAAUCCUGCAGCUUAACUGUGGGAAUUGCUGGAGAUACUAUUAGACUUGAGACCGGGAGAGGUUAGAGGUACUCCCAGGGUAGAGGUGAAAUUCUGUAAUCCUGGGAGGACCGCCUGUUGCGAAGGCGUCUAACUGGAACGGUUCUGACGGUGAGGGACGAAAGUUAGGGGCGCGAACCGGAUUAGAUACCCGGGUAGUCCC
rnacentral:rRNA from 1 species